rnacentral:rRNA from 1 species
AGACCCGAAACCCGGUGAUCUAGCCAUGGGCAGGUUGAAGGUUGGGUAACACUAACUGGAGGACCGAACCGACUAAUGUUGAAAAAUUAGCGGAUGACCUGUGGCUGGGGGUGAAAGGCCAAUCAAACCGGGAGAUAGCUGGUUCUCCCCGAAAGCUAUUUAGGUAGCGCCUCGUGAAUUCAUCUCCGGGGGUAGAGCACUGUUUCGGCUAGGGGGCCAUCCCGGCUUACCAACCCGAUGCAAACUGCGAAUACCGGAGAAUGUUAUCACGGGAGACACACGGCGGGUGCUAACGUCCGUCGUGAAGAGGGAAACAACCCAGACCGCCAGCUAAGGUCCCAAAGUCAUGGUUAAGUGGGAAACGAUGUGGGAAGGCCCAGACAGCCAGGAUGUUGGCUUAGAAGCAGCCAUCAUUUAAAGAAAGCGUAAUAGCUCACUGGUCGAGUCGGCCUGCGCGGAAGAUGUAACGGGGCUAAACCAUGCACCGAAGCUGCGGCAGCGACGCUUAUGCGUUGUUGGGUAGGGGAGCGUUCUGUAAGCCUGUGAAGGUGUGUCGUGAGGCAUGCUGGAGGUAUCAGAAGUGCGAAUGCUGACAUAAGUAACGAUAAAGCGGGUGAAAAGCCCGCUCGCCGGAAGACCAAGGGUUCCUGUCCAACGUUAAUCGGGGCAGGGUGAGUCGACCCCUAAGGCGAGGCCGAAAGGCGUAGUCGAUGGGAAACGGGUUAAUAUUCCCGUACUUGGUGUUACUGCGAAGGGGGGACGGAGAAGGCUAUGUUGGCCGGGCGACGGUUGUCCCGGUUUAAGCGUGUAGGUGUGUGUUCCAGGUAAAUCCGGUUCACUUUAACACUGAGGCGUGAUGACGAGGCACUACGGUGCUGAAGUAACAAAUGCCCUGCUUCCAGGAAAAGCCUCUAAGCAUCAGGUAACAUCAAAUCGUACCCCAAACCGACACAGGUGGUCAGGUAGAGAAUACCAAGGCGCUUGAGAGAACUCGGGUGAAGGAACUAGGCAAAAUGGUGCCGUAACUUCGGGAGAAGGCACGCUGACACGUAGGUGAAGUGAUUUACUCACGGAGCUGAAGUCAGUCGAAGAUACCAG